rnacentral:tRNA from 1 species
GGAGGACAGUCUCUCCGCAGGUCAGGGCGGUACGCGGUCUGAUCUGCGGCACGGUCUUGAAAACCGUCGUGGCAGCGAUGUCACCGAGGGUUCAAAUCCCUCAGCCUCCG